AGUGAACGCUGGCGGUAGGCCUAACACAUGCAAGUCGAACGGCAGCACAGUAAGAGCUUGCUCUUACGGGUGGCGAGUGGCGGACGGGUGAGGAAUACAUCGGAAUCUACUUUUUCGUGGGGGAUAACGUAGGGAAACUUACGCUAAUACCGCAUACGACCUACGGGUGAAAGCAGGGGAUCUUCGGACCUUGCGCGAUUGAAUGAGCCGAUGUCGGAUUAGCUAGUUGGCGGGGUAAAGGCCCACCAAGGCGACGAUCCGUAGCUGGUCUGAGAGGAUGAGCAGCCACCCUGGAACUGAGACACGGUCCAGACUCCUACGGGAGGCAGCAGUGGGGAAUAUUGGACAAUGGGCGCAAGCCUGAUCCAGCCAUACCGCGUGGGUGAAGAAGGCCUUCGGGUUGUAAAGCCCUUUUGUUGGGAAAGAAAAGCAGCAGGUUAAUACCCCGCUGUUCUGACGGUACCCAAAGAAUAAGCACCGGCUAACUUCGUG
rnacentral:rRNA from 1 species